UACGUAGGGGGCAAGCGUUGUCCGGAUUUAUUGGGCGUAAAGAGCGUGUAGGCGGCUAGGUAGGUCCGUUGUGAAAACUCGAGGCUCAACCUCGAGACGCCGGUGGAAACCAUCUAGCUAGAGUCCGGAAGAGGAGAGUGGAAUUCCUGGUGUAGCGGUGAAAUGCGCAGAUAUCAGGAGGAAUACCGGUGGCGAAAGCGACUCUCUGGACGGCAACUGACGCUGAGGCACGAAAGCGUGGGGAGCAAACAGG
rnacentral:rRNA from 1 species